GGUUAAGCGACUAAGCGUACACGGUGGAUGCCCUGGCAGUCAGAGGCGAUGAAGGGCGUGCUAAUCUGCGAUAAGCGCCGGUAAGGUGAUAUGAACCGUUAUAACCGGCGAUACCCGAAUGGGGAAACCCAGUGUGAYUCGUCACACUAUCAUUAACUGAAUCCAUAGGUUAAUGAGGCGAACCGGGGGAACUGAAACAUCUAAGUACCCCGAGGAAAAGAAAUCAACCGAGAUUCCCCCAGUAGCGGCGAGCGAACGGGGAGGAGCCCAGAGCCUGAAUCAGCAUGUGUGUUAGUGGAAGCGUCUGGAAAGGCGCGCGAUACAGGGUGACAGCCCCGUACACAAAAGCGCAUGUGCUGUGAGCUCGAUGAGUAGGGCGGGACACGUGGUAUCCUGUCUGAAUAUGGGGGGACCAUCCUCCAAGGCUAAAUACUCCUGACUGACCGAUAGUGAACCAGUACCGUGAGGGAAAGGCGAAAAGAACCCCGGCGAGGGGAGUGAAAAAGAACCUGAAACCGUGUACGUACAAGCAGUGGGAGCACAGGUUUACCUGUGUGACUGCGUACCUUUUGUAUAAUGGGUCAGCGACUUAUAUUCUGUAGCAAGGUUAACCGWAUAGGGGAGCCGKAGGGAAACCGAGUCUUAAYYGGGCGUUAAGUUGCAGGGUAUAGACCCGAAACCCGGUGAUCUAGCCAUGGGCAGGUUGAAGGUUGGGUAACACUAACUGGAGGACCGAACCGACUAAUGUUGAAAAAUUAGCGGAUGACCUGUGGCUGGGGGUGAAAGGCCAAUCAAACCGGGAGAUAGCUGGUUCUCCCCGAAAGCUAUUUAGGUAGCGCCUCGUGAAUUCAUCUCCGGGGGUAGAGCACUGUUUCGGCUAGGGGGCCAUCCCGGCUUACCAACCCGAUGCAAACUGCGAAUACCGGAGAAUGUUAUCACGGGAGACACACGGCGGGUGCUAACGUCCGUCGUGAAGAGGGAAACAACCCAGACCGCCAGCUAAGGUCCCAAAGUCAUGGUUAAGUGGGAAACGAUGUGGGAAGGCCCAGACAGCCAGGAUGUUGGCUUAGAAGCAGCCAUCAUUUAAAGAAAGCGUAAUAGCUCACUGGUCGAGUCGGCCUGCGCGGAAGAUGUAACGGGGCUAAACCAUGCACCGAAGCUGCGGCAGCGACGUGGGUUAAUAGAAACGGGUUAAUAUUCCCGUACUUGGUGUUACUG
rnacentral:rRNA from 1 species